rnacentral:misc_RNA from 1 species
AGACGACCUAGCUCUCGGUCGGGGUGUCGUACUUAGUAGAGCAGCCACCACACUGCGAUCUAUUGAGACUAAGCCUCUCGACUAGGAGAUUUA